CUGGGUAUUUUAGAUCCUUGGCAUAGUUACGUGAUUGAAUGCACUGUUCUUCUUUGGUUUACCCAGUAUCGAACACGCGUCAAUCUGUCAGAUCUACUUAAUACCCAUAAA
rnacentral:pre_miRNA from 1 species